UUUUUUUGUAGCAGGGUUCUUCCCUGACUCUAGGCCUCCUGUUGGUUCAGGUAGGUGCAGGUCAACAAAACUAAACUGUCAUCUUGUCUCCAUCCAAGAGACAAGAAGGCUUGGAUUACAGGCAUGCACCUGGAUGCUCCACUUUACGUGGAUGCUGGAAUCCAAACUCUGGAUUCACGAUUGUUUGGCAGGUGCCCUUUCCAGCUUCUUUUCACCAGAAGUGUUUGAUGUUUAUAAGUUACAGCUUUUCAUAUUAGGAUCGUUUAUGUCUGGGGAGUGGGUUUGAUGCUUUUAUAUACUUUUUUAGAUUUAGAUUUUAUUUUUCAUUUUACUUUAUCUUGUUUACAUCCUUUUUUCCUACUCUGUCAAUUAUUUUGAGUCAUAUCAUUUAAAAAUGGCAAUUUGUGGACUGUUUUCAUGUUUGUGUGUUUUGUUAUUGCUUAGGUAUUAGUUGUUGGUGAAGCACAAGCAUCUAUAUACUCAUCAUAUAACUGAAAACAAUUUUGCCUUGUUUUACUUUCUUAGGUAGAAUUUGGAUUGUAAUUUCUUACAGAUAUCAAAUCAGAGUGUUAGAAUGGUGUUUUUCAUUGUCUCACUUGUGCAUACAAUCUAAAAUAAAUUUAAAUUUCUUUUUAAUUAUUUCUUUCUGAUAAAUUUUAAACUAGCAUAUCUUGAAACUGGUAUUUCGAUACUUUUAUUACCUUCAGAAUUUAAUGUAAAUUUAAGCCACUUUUAUAAUUUGUGUCAAAAAGCUUAUUGCCAGCCUGGGAGCUGUAGAUACUGUAUGUUCUACCUAACAACAUUCCAAAGCAGAACAUUUUAUUCCCUGGCAUGAGCUGGCACAGUGGGCAGGAUUAUUGUAAUUCAUUUGGGUAAAUGAACUGAAGCUUAAUGUACAAAAAUAUUCUGUCAGUUUUUACAAUUCUGUAAUGAUAAAAACUGGGUUUAGAAUUUCAGCAUCUUAAUUUCUAUUGUCCUUAUCCCAUUCUGAUUAUUUGAUCUUCUUUUCAAUUAAAGUCCAUAUAUUAUCUUU
rnacentral:lncRNA from 1 species